rnacentral:rRNA from 1 species
UACGUAGGGGGCAAGCGUUGUCCGGAUUUAUUGGGCGUAAAGAGCGUGUAGGCGGCCAAACAGGUCCACUGUGAAAACUCGAGGCUCAACCUCGAGAGGUCGGUGGAAACCGUCUGGCUAGAGUCCGGAAGAGGAGAGUGGAAUUCCCGGUGUAGCGGUGAAAUGCGCAGAUAUCGGGAAGAACACCCGUGGCGAAGGCGCACAUCUGGCCCGAUACGUGACGCUGAGGCGCGAAAGCUAGGGGAGCAAACGGG